AAUAAAUGUAGUUCUGUACUAUUUAUGUCUUGACUGUUCAUCUUAUUUAAAAAAAAUUAUAAUUAGUAUUUUAUUGUUAUUAGAUAAUAAAAUAUAAAUAUUACUUAUUGUGUGACUAUUUUUUUUCAAUUUUUUCAUAAAAUUUUUAAAUAAGAUGAUCGGUCAAACGUGUCCUCACGACUACACUUAUU
rnacentral:pre_miRNA from 1 species